rnacentral:rRNA from 1 species
GACGGAAGGUGCAAGCGUUGCUCGGAAUCACUGGGCGUAAAGGGUGCGUAGGCGGCGCGGUAAGUCGGGUGUGAAAUCUCGGAGCUUAACUCCGAAACUGCAUUCGAUACUGCCGUGCUUGAGGACUGGAGAGGAGACUGGAAUUUACGGUGUAGCGGUGAAAUGCGUAGAUAUCGUAAGGAAGACCAGUGGCGAAGGCGGGUCUCUGGACAGUUCCUGACGCUGAGGCACGAAGGUCAGGGGAGCAAACGGG